rnacentral:rRNA from 1 species
GACGAACGCUGGCGGCGUGCUUAACACAUGCAAGUCGAACGGAAAGGCCCUGCUUUUGUGGGGUGCUCGAGUGGCGAACGGGUGAGUAACACGUGAGUAACCUGCCCUUGACUUUGGGAUAACUUCAGGAAACUGGGGCUAAUACCGGAUAGGAGCUCCUGCUGCAUGGGGGGGGUUGGAAAGUUUCGGCGGUUGGGGAUGGACUCGGGGCUUAUCAGCUUGUUGGUGGGGUAGUGGCUUACCAAGGCUUUGACGGGUAGCCGGCCUGGGAGGGUGACCGGCCACAUUGUGACUGAGAUACGGCCCAGACUCCUACGGGAGGCAGCAGUGGGGAAUAUUGCACAAUGGGCGGAAGCCUGAUGAAGCAACGCCGCGUGCGUGAUGACGGCUUUCGGGUUGUAAACCGCUUUCGCCUGUGACGAAGCGUGAGUGACGGUAAUGGGUAAAGAAGCACCGGCUAACUACGUG